rnacentral:tRNA from 1 species
AGGGUUGUGGCUCAGUGGUAGAGCACUUGCCUUGCAGGUGUGAGGCGCUGAGUUCAAUCCUCAGCACUA